rnacentral:rRNA from 1 species
UACGUAGGGUGCGAGCGUUGUCCGGAAUUAUUGGGCGUAAAGAGCUUGUAGGCGGUUUGUCGCGUCUGCCGUGAAAGUCCGGGGCUCAACUCCGGAUCUGCGGUGGGUACGGGCAGACUAGAGUGAUGUAGGGGAGACUGGAAUUCCUGGUGUAGCGGUGGAAUGCGCAGAUAUCGGGAGGAACACCCGUGGCGAAGGCGGGUCUCUGGGACGGUACUGACGCUGAGACGCGAAAGCGUGGGGAGCGAACAGG